rnacentral:rRNA from 1 species
GGGGGGAGCGAUGGAUAGAUACCCUAGUAGUCCUUGCUGUAAAUGAUGAAUGUCAUAGACUAGAUAUUUAUUUGGUUUAUAAAUGAAAGUGUAAGCAUUCCACCUCAUGAGUAAUGUGGCAACGCAGGAACUGAAAUCAUUAGACCGUUUCUGAGAACAGUAGUGAAGUAUGUUAUUUAAUUCGAUGACCCACGUAAAACCUUACCACAACUUGAAUGUCAAACGUGAAUAAGGAAGUAAAAAUAAAGCCAACUAACCAUUGGAUGCAUGCUUGAUAACACACCUUUUUUUUUAGCGUUUACGCUCGUUUACGCUCGUUUACGCUCGUUUACGCUCGUUUACGCUCGUUUACGCUCGUUUACGCUCGUUUACGCUCGUUUACGCUCGUUUACGCUCGUUUACGCUAAAGAAAAAAGUGUAAUGCAAGAGAGAGCCUUAGGUAGUUAGCCAGGGAAAUGUUGCAAUACAUUUCAAUGUCAAAUUAGACAUGGGUAACCUGUUAAUGUUGAAAUACAUUACGUUUACGUGUAGCCUAAAAACUACAUUUACCUGGAAGAUGUUGAAAUACAUUUAAAUGUAGAAAUACAUUUGACACGGUUGAUACACGCGUUGCACGGUUGUCUUUAGCUAAUGUCGUGAGAUUUGGUUAGCUCCAUAAAAUUAGCGUAAACCCCGGUUCUAUUAAAAAAAUUAAUAAUACAAUAAUAUUAUUAUUGUGAUAGAGCAGUUCAUCACUAUAUUGAAUACAUAAAGAGAUAACAGGGACGAUGACAAAUCAUCAUGGCCUGAAUGUGUGGGCUAGAAGAGUGGCGCCAUACACUAUAUAUAA